UAGGUGGAACCUGCGGAGGGAUCAUUAUAGAGUUUUAUAACUCCCAAACCCAUGUGAACUUACCUUUGUUGCCUCGGCGCAGCUACCCUGUAACUACCCUGGAGCGGCUACCCUGUAGCUACCCUGGAGCGGAUACACUGUAGCGGCCGACGGCCCAUUAAACUCUUGUUUUUUAGUAUAUCUGAGUAUCUUAUUUUAAUAAGUUAAAACUUUCAACAACGGAUCUCUUGGUUCUGGCAUCGAUGAAGAACGCAGCGAAAUGCGAUAAGUAAUGUGAAUUGCAGAAUUCAGUGAAUCAUCGAAUCUUUGAACGCACAUUGCGCCCAUUAGUAUUCUAGUGGGCAUGCCUGUUCGAGCGUCAUUUCAACCCUUAAGCCUAGCUUAGUAUUGGGAAUCUACGGAAGGAGCUACCCUGUAGUCACCCUGUAGUUCCUUAAAGAUAACGGCGGAGACGUGGUGUCCCCCUGAGCUUAGUAAUUUCUUCUAGCUUCUGGAGCGCUGCGGUUCUUGCCGUAAAACCCCCAAAUUUUUAAUGGUUGACCUCGGAUCAGGUAGGAAUACCCGCUGAACUUAAGCAUAUCAU
rnacentral:rRNA from 1 species